GUGGGGAAUAUUGGACAAUGGGCGAAAGCCUGAUCCAGCCAUGCCGCGUGUGUGAAGAAGGUCUUCGGAUUGUAAAGCACUUUAAGUUGGGAGGAAGAGUAGUAACCUAAUACGUUGCUACUUUGACGUUACCGACAGAAUAAGCACCGGCUAACUUCGUGCCAGCAGCCGCGGUAAUACGAAGGGUGCAAGCGUUAAUCGGAAUUACUGGGCGUAAAGCGCGCGUAGGUGGUUCAGUAAGUUGGAAGUGAAAUCCCCGGGCUCAACCUGGGAACUGCUGUCAAAACUGCUGAGCUAGAGUACGGUAGAGGGUGGUGGAAUUUCCUGUGUAGCGGUGAAAUGCGUAGAUAUAGGAAGGAACACCAGUGGCGAAGGCGACCACCUGGACUGAUACUGACACUGAGGUGCGAAAGCGUGGGGAGCAAACAGGAUUAGAAACCCUUGUAGUCC
rnacentral:rRNA from 1 species